UACAGAGGUCUCAAGCGUUGUUCGGAUUCAUUGGGCGUAAAGGGUGCGUAGGCGGCGCGGUAAGUCGGGUGUGAAAUCUCGGAGCUUAACUCCGAAACUGGCAUUCGAUACUGCCGUGCUUGAGGACUGGAGAGGAGACUGGAAUUUACGGUGUAGCGGUGAAAUGCGUAGAUAUCCGGAGGAACACCGGUGGCGAAGGCGGCUUCCUGGACCGACACUGACGCUGAGGCGCGAAAGCUAGGGGAGCAAACGGG
rnacentral:rRNA from 1 species